rnacentral:tRNA from 1 species
ACAUCGGUAGCACAGUGGUUAGUGCAGUCUGCCGGAAACAGAAAGACACAGGUUCAAUUCCCGUCCGAUGUC